GAUGAACGCUGGCGGCAUGCUUAAUACAUGUAAGUCGAACGAAGUGCUUUUGUCUUCGGAUGGAAGUAUCUUAGUGGCGAACGGGUGAGUAACGCGUUGGUGACCUGCCCCGAAGUGUGGGAUAACAGUUCGAAAGGACUGCUAAUACCGCAUGCGAUCGCUUGGAUUAGAUGCCUUGCGAUCAAAGGAGUAAUCCGCUUUGGGAGGGACCUGCGUCCCAUCAGCUAGUUGGUAAGGUAAUGGCUUACCAAGGCUAUGACGGGUAGGGGACCUGAGAGGGUGACCCCCCACACUGGCACUGAAACACGGGCCAGACACCUACGGGAGGCUG
rnacentral:rRNA from 1 species